rnacentral:rRNA from 1 species
UACGUAGGGUCCGAGCGUUGUCCGGAAUUACUGGGCGUAAAGAGCUCGUAGGCGGUUUGUCGCGUCUGCUGUGAAAUCCCGAGGCUCAACCUCGGGCCUGCAGUGGGUACGGGCAGACUAGAGUGCGGUAGGGGAGAUUGGAAUUCCUGGUGUAGCGGUGGAAUGCGCAGAUAUCAGGAGGAACACCGAUGGCGAAGGCAGAUCUCUGGGCCGUAACUGACGCUGAGGAGCGAAAGCGUGGGGAGCGAACAGG